rnacentral:lncRNA from 1 species
UACCGCACCUACCACACACUGGCACCUCUGAGCCUGAACUCAUGCCACUGCCUAAUCCCAGACCUGCUUUAAUCUUAUUCCAGAACUUAUUCUUCCUCGACUUCUGCGUGGAACCACUCCACUUCUUACCACUGGAAGUUGCUGCACCCUGUGAAGAGGGAUCUGACUUACCCCUACCUGGGGUCUUAGAACCUGAAGACUGUGCCGGCUGCUGUUUCACUGUACCCUGUAUAAUGGCACUAGCCUCCAUCCUCCGUGCUAAAUCCACCACGGUGUGGAAACUCUCCCUCUCGGCUGCAUGGAUCAAAGAGGAAUACCUGGAAUGCAGUUUCAUAGCAUACCUCCUAGCCUUUUUCUGUUCUGUAUCAUAGGCCUGUCCUGCAUAUCGCAGCAACUCCAGAAACCUGUCAGUAAACUCAUC